AGUCACUGACAUUAGAUACCCGCGUAGUCCAGGGUGUAAACGCUGCAGACUUGGUGUUGGAGGCCCUUUGGGGGCAUUCAGUGCCGGAGAGAAGUUGUUAAGUCUGCUACUUGGGAGUACGUCCGCAAGGAUGAAACUUAAAGGAAUUGGCGGGGGAGCACCGCAACGGGAGGAGCGUGCGGUUUAAUUGGAUUCAACACCGUAAACUCACCAGGGAAGACUGUUACAUGAAGGUCGAGAUGAAGACUCUGCUAGAUUUUCAG
rnacentral:rRNA from 1 species